UCUCCUCUUCAAUUCUGAUUCUCCUUCCUCUCCCUUCGACCUCUCUCUAUAUCUCUCUCUAUCUAAAUCAACUUCAUCUUUCGUCUCGAUCUCUCUCUUUGUCCCCCUGUUUCAAUAGUCUCGAUUGCAAACUGCAUUUCUUUCUCUCUUAACCCAUUUUCGGCCCUCCAUUUUUCAUCUUGAGGAAGAGCUAAGAAGCAAGGUAAAAAUCCUAACUUAUUUUACUUCUCUUUCUUUCUCUCCCGCUUGGAAGCUCUUUUUUUUUUUUCUUGUUUUUUGCAAACAACAUCAUAUCUAUAUGUGUUCAUUUAGAUCUUUUAGUUUUCAUUUUAUUUUUUAGAUCCUAGAGCUUCUUAUGUUAAACAUGGUUUUCGGAAGCAACUGGAAAUGCAACCGUUGGGUUCCCAAAGGUGGUGCUUUUACUGGAGAGAUUAGCUUCCAUUCCAAUGCAUGGAUAAUAUUCACAAAUUCAAUAGCUGUCACACGUACAAAAGGGAAAACAGGAGAGCAAAUAGGACUGUAGUUUUCCAAAUUGUAACUUAUUAUAGUGUCUUGCCAUUAUAAUGUAUAGGAAAAAACAAUGGUAUCCUUACCUAG